AGAUGUGAGGGUCAUCUAGCUGCAGCAUCUGUCACCCCAUUGAUCGCCAGGGUUGAUUUGGCUGAUCCGGCUGGCUAGGCGGGUGUCUCCUUACCAAUCCGGAUGCCUCUCUCCCAAAGCUGCGCCCUCAGUCAAAGAGGACAACCUUCCUCCAGAGGAUAGGUCUUCGAUCAAGAGUAUACGAGUAGCUGCGCUCCUCUGCUAGAACCUCCAAACCAGCUCUCAGGGUCCGUUUGUAGGAGAAUGUAGAGUAGUCAAGCUUCCAAGACCAGGCACAUCCAAAUGAGGUGCUGCACCUGGCAGUCUGCUUUCCUAA
ensembl:misc_RNA 7SK 7SK RNA